CUUACUACUUGGAUAACCGUGGUAAUUCUAGAGCUAAUACAUGCUGAAAACCCCGACUUCGGGAGGGGUGUAUUUAUUAGAUAAAAAACCAACGCCCUUCGGGGCUUCUUGGUGAUUCAUGAUAACUUCACGGAUCGCAUGGCCUUGCGCCGGCGACGGUUCAUUCAAAUUUCUGCCCUAUCAACUUUCGAUGGUAAGGUAUUGGCUUACCAUGGUUUCAACGGGUAACGGGGAAUUAGGGUUCGAUUCCGGAGAGGGAGCCUGAGAAACGGCUACCACAUCCAAGGAAGGCAGCAGGCGCGCAAAUUACCCAAUCCCGACACGGGGAGGUAGUGACAAUAAAUACUGAUACAGGGCUCUUUUGGGUCUUGUAAUUGGAAUGAGUACAAUUUAAACCUCUUAACGAGGAACAAUUGGAGGGCAAGUCUGGUGCCAGCAGCCGCGGUAAUUCCAGCUCCAAUAGCGUAUAUUAAAGUUGUUGCAGUUAAAAAGCUCGUAGUUGAAACUUGGGCCUGGCUGGCAGGUCCGCCUCACCGCGUGUACUUGUCCGGCCGGGCCUUUCCUUCUGGAGAACCUCAUGCCCUUCACUGGGUGUGCUGGGGAACCAGGACUUUUACUUUGAAAAAAUUAGAGUGUUCAAAGCAGGCCUUUGCUCGAAUACGUUAGCAUGGAAUAAUAGAAUAGGACGUGCGGUCCUAUUUUGUUGGUUUCUAGGACCGCCGUAAUGAUUAAUAGGGACAGUCGGGGGCAUCAGUAUUCAAUUGUCAGAGGUGAAAUUCUUGGAUUUAUUGAAGACUAACUACUGCGAAAGCAUUUGCCAAGGAUGUUUUCAUUAAUCAGUGAACGAAAGUUAGGGGAUCGAAGACGAUCAGAUACCGUCGUAGUCUUAACCGUAAACUAUGCCGACUAGGGAUCGGGCGAUGUUCUUUUUCUGACUCGCUCGGCACCUUACGAGAAAUCAAAGUUU
rnacentral:rRNA from 1 species